AUGAAUAGUUCGCCAGGGGGGAUUUUAUCUUCAGGUAAGGUGCGUAUUGUAUCGGAUAAAAGGCUGCGAAUAGGCCUCCUCUCUUUCCAGCGCUCUCCUCUACCCCUAACAUUUUGUUCCCUUCCCUCUUCGCUAACCUCUAUUCCGUUGAAUGCUAUUCAGUCUGGGAUCGAGCCCAACUAUUAUAAUUAUAGUUAUAGCUUUCUUCCAACAGCAGAUUCAUUCACAAGAACCGAUGCCGUACUGCUUCAGUGGAAUGCUCCGUAA
rnacentral:lncRNA from 1 species